CAGUAGCCGCGGUAAUACAGAGGGUGCAAGCGUUAAUCGGAAUUACUGGGCGUAAAGCGCGCGUAGGUGGUUUGUUAAGUUGAAUGUGAAAUCCCCGGGCUCAACCUGGGAACUGCAUCCAAAACUGGCAAGCUAGAGUAGGGCAGAGGGUGGUGGAAUUUCCUGUGUAGCGGUGAAAUGCGUAGAUAUAGGAAGGAACACCAGUGGCGAAGGCGACCACCUGGGCUCAUACUGACACUGAGGUGCGAAAGCGUGGGGAGCAAACAGGAUUAGAUACCCCGGUAGUCCCUGUCUCUUAUAA
rnacentral:rRNA from 1 species